rnacentral:snRNA from 1 species
UUACUUACCUGCCAGGGCUAGAUUGUGAUCAAGAAGGCGAUCUGGUUAGGGCGAGUGCUCCGCAUUGCACACUCGCGAUAGGAUUCGCUCUACAAACACUUCGGUGUCUUGACUGGACAAUUUUUGUAUUUUUCCCUUCGGGGANNN